AUGGGGAGCGCCACCAAGAUCAUGAGGGCGGCGCUCCACGCCUUCUUCUCGCACUACCACCCGGCGGCCUCCGCGGCGGCGCUGCUCGCGCUCCCCUUCUCCGCCGCCACGCUCCUCUCCCGCUCGCCCGCGGCGUCCCUCCUCCCGCCGCUCUCCCUCCGCCUCCGCCGCGUCCUCGUCGCCGCGGGCUUCCCGCCGGCGUCCCAGCUCCUCUUCCUCCUCAAUCACAAGCUGUCGCAGUCCGUCUUCUCCUUCCUCGCCACCCUGCCCUUCUCCCUCUCCUUCCUGCUCCUCGCCAAGGCCUGCGCCGUGCGCGCCAUGCAGCCGCCGCCGCCGCCGCCGCGGAAGCAGCGCCGCCACGAGCUGUCGGCGCUUCCCGCGUCGUGCGGCCGCUACCCGGCGAUGGCGCGGACGCAGCUCGCCAACUUCGCGGCGCUCCUGCUCGCCAACGCGGCCGUGUUCGCCGCGCUGCUCGCGGCCUUCAAUGCCGCGGAGGCGCUGCGGCUGGGCUCCGACGGCAGGGCCGUGCUGGCGCUCUCGGCCGCGGGCGUCAUCGUCUACUCCGUCGCGCUCGCCAACGCCGCCGCCGUCUGCAACCUCGCCACCGUCGUCGCGGCCGCCGAGGGCCGGGGCGGCUGCCACGCGGUCCUCAAGGCGCUGCUGCUCGUCCGGGGCGACGCCGCCACCGCCGUCGCCGUGGCGCUGCCGGCCAGCCUCGCCACCACAGCCGUGGAGGGGCUGUUCCAGCUCAGAGUCAUGAAGCUGUACAUGAUCGACGGCAGGAUAAGCUCGGCCAUGGUUUGCGAAGGGCUCCUCAUCGCCUACAUUCACUCCAUGAUCUGUGUUCUUGACACCGUCAUCACCUUCAUGGUCUACCAGACCUGCAAGGCCACCCAUUAUUCUCGUGAUCUGCUCGAGUUGGAAGAGAAAGGGGAUUUCUUUGCCUGA
rnacentral:rRNA from 1 species